rnacentral:rRNA from 1 species
UACGUAGGGUGCAAGCGUUAUCCGGAAUUAUUGGGCGUAAAGGAGCUCGUAGGCGGUUUGUCGCGUCUGCUGUGAAAACUGGAGGCUCAACCUCCAGCCUGCAGUGGGUACGGGCAAACUAGAGUGCGGUAGGGGGAGAUUGGAAUUCCUGGUGUAGCGGUGGAAAUGCGCAGAUAUCAGGAGGAACACCGAUGGCGAAGGCAGAUCUCUGGGCCGUAACUGACGCUGAGGAGCGAAAGCAUGGGGAGCGAACAGG